UACGUAAGUGGCAAGCGUUGUCCGGAUUUACUGGGCGUAAAGGAUGCGUAGGCGGCCAACUCAGUCGGACGUGAAAUCCCUCGGCUUAACCGGGGAAUGGCGUCCGAUACUGGAUGGCUUGAGUUUGGGAGAGGGAUGCGGAAUUCCAGGUGUAGCGGUGAAAUGCGUAGAUAAUCGGGAGGAACACCUGUGGCGAAAGCGGCGCACUGGACCAUAACUGACGCUGAGGCGCGAAAGCUAGGGGAGCAAACAGG
rnacentral:rRNA from 1 species